rnacentral:lncRNA from 12 species
AUCCAGGUGCUUUUUGCCCUGAUCCACCUCGGACUCCCUCUCCCGCUAUUGCUGGAGAGGCUGCCUUCAGAAGGAGCUACGUCUGAAAGUGACCUUGCUCAGCAAAUGCCGAUUGGCUUAUGCAGAAAUCCUUUCCCAGAAGAGGUGCUGUACCAUGCCAAGUUGUGCUGUUGCAACGAUGGGUAGGAUCCAAGAGAUGUCAUGAAUGUAGCAGAGGAGGCACUUUCUGUGAGUUCUAUUGCCACGGGAAGCUGAU